AUGCCGAGCAUACAAGAACCACUGCAUUUUAAACCUCAAGAGCCUAAAGUAGUCGUGGCGGAGAACGAGAACGACAAGAUGGUUGAUGUUCAGGACAAGGAGGUCACCAUGGAAGGCCUCUGCUCUGUGGCCGCUUACGAUCAGUGGACGCCUCUCUCAGUCCCAGGACAGCGCCCGAAACCUCGAUACAAGCACGGAGCUGCCGUAGUUCAGGAAAAAAUGUAUGUCUUUGGUGGAAACCACAAUGGCCGUUACCUUGGUGACAUUCAGGUUCUGGAUUUCAAAAGUUUGUCAUGGUCAAAGCUAGAAGCUAAAGUUCAAUCAGAAUCAGCUGAACCAGCUUCUGUUGCUCCAUGUGCUGGUCAUUCACUGAUUCCAUCCGGAAACAAGAUUCUCUCACUUGCAGGACACACCAGGGAGCAUACAGAGAGUCUCAGUGUAAAGGAGUUUGAUCCGCAAACCUGCACUUGGUCAAUUUUGCGUACUUAUGGGAAGUCACCGAGCUCACGUGGUGGUCAAUCAGUAACUCGUGUUGGGGACACUUUAGUUGUGUUUGGAGGUGAAGGUGGUGGGAGGUCUCUUCUGAAUGACCUGCACGUUCUUGAUCUUGAAACCAUGACUUGGGAUGAAUUUGAGAGCACAGGCACUACUCCUUCUCCAAGGUCAGAGCAUGCUGCUGCAUGCUAUGCGGACUGGUAUCUCUUGAUAUUUGGUGGGGGAUCUCAUUCUACAUGUUUCAGUGAUCUAUAUCUCCUUGACAUGCAAACAAUGGGAUGGUCAAGACCAGAGCAGCACGGUAUAAUUCCAGAACCAAGAGCAGGGCAUGCAGGCGUGACGGUUGGGGAUAACUGGGUUAUCACUGGUGGUGGUAAUAGUAAGAAAGGUGUUCCAGAAACGCUUGUGCUUAACAUGUCUACUUUGGUAUGGUCGGUUGUUACUAGUUUUGAAGGCCGUGCACCCCCUACAAGUGAGGGAUCGAGCUUAGUACUUCACACAAUUAAUGGAGAAGAUUUUCUGUUGUCAUUUGGAGGAUACAGUGGACGUUACAGCAACGAGGUUUAUGCUCUGAAGACAAGUCUCAGACCAAGUGUGUCAUCUUCACGAAUAGAUGAACUGGAGACAAAUGGCAUGACCCCAUUAUCUGCAGAAGUAAAUUCUAGCAGGGAACCUAUAUUCGAAAUUGAAGAACUUCGAGAUGACAAGAAUAAGAAGGGAGGAGAUAUCAGCAAAACCUUGGUGCAAGCAGUAAAGCGUGAGAAGAACCAGGUAGAAGAAAGACUUGAACAGGAAAAGCUGCAGAGCUUCAACCUGAAGAAGGAACUAGCUGAUGUGGAGAACAAAAAUGCGGAGCUUACUAAGGAACUCCAGUCGGUCCGUGAUCAACUCUCAGACGAAGCAGCGAGGGCUUCCAAACUCGAGGAUGAAGUUUCAGAGAUUCAACAACGGCUGCAGAAAAUGGAAACCCUUGAAAAGGAGUUCGAAUUGCUUCGGAGUGAAAGGGGUGGCGGGUCUGACGAAUCAGGUUCAGGCAGCAACAAGAGGCCCAGCAGCGUGGGCUUCCGGAGGUGGUAUGGAGAUGACGAGCGCUGA
rnacentral:rRNA from 1 species